CCUACGGGAUGCAGCAGUGGGGAAUAUUGCACAAUGGGCGCAAGCCUGAUGCAGCCAUGCCGCGUGUAUGAAGAAGGCCUUCGGGUUGUAAAGUACUUUCAGCGAGGAGGAGGGCGUUAAGGUUAAUAACCUUGGCGAUUGACGUUACCCGCAGAAGAAGCACCGGCUAACUCCGUGCCAGCAGCCGCGGUAAUACGGAGGGUGCAAGCGUUAAUCGGAAUUACUGGGCGUAAAGCGCACGCAGGCGGUUUGUUAAGUCAGAUGUGAAAUCCCCGGGCUCAACCUGGGAACUGCAUCUGAUACUGGCAAGCUUGAGUCUCGUAGAGGGGGGUAGAAUUCCAGGUGUAGCGGUGAAAUGCGUAGAGAUCUGGAGGAAUACCGGUGGCGAAGGCGGCCCCCUGGACGAAGACUGACGCUCAGGUGCGAAAGCGUGGGGAGCAAACAGGAUUAAAUACCCGCGUAGUC
rnacentral:rRNA from 1 species